UGGCGGACGGGUGAGUAAUGUCUGGGAAACUGCCUGAUGGGAGGGGGUAACUACUGGAAACGGUAGCUAAUACCGCAUAACGUCGCAAGACCAAAGAGGGGGACCUUAGGGCCUCUUGCCAUCGGAUGUGCCCAGAUGGGAUUAGCUAGUAGGUGGGGUAACGGCUCACCUAGGCGACGAUCCCUAGCUGGUCUGAGAGGAUGACCAGCCACACUGGAACUGAGACACGGUCCAG
rnacentral:rRNA from 1 species